rfam:Anopheles minimus strain MINIMTS1 unplaced genomic scaffold supercont1.14, whole genome shotgun sequence.
GUGGCUGGAGUUUUCAGUCGCGCCUUUUGGAGAUGGCAGCACAAGUACGUGCAGCCGAAACGGACUGGAAUCGCUCCGUUCUUCCAAGUGAUCGUCGGUGGAAUGGUGUUUUUCUACACUAUUAACUACGGAAAGCUGAAGCAUCACCGAAACUACAA